rnacentral:rRNA from 1 species
CAGUCGCCGCGGGAAUACGAAGGGGGCUAGCGUUGCUCGGAAUGACUGGGCGUAAAGGGCGCGUAGGCGGCGAUCAAAGUCAGGCGUGAAAUUCCUGGGCUCAACCUGGGGGCUGCGCUUGAUACUUGGUUGCUUGAGUGGGGGAGAGGGUCGUGGAAUUCCCAGUGUAGAGGUGAAAUUCGUAGAUAUUGGGAAGAACACCGGUGGCGAAGGCGGCGACCUGGUCCUUGACUGACGCUGAGGCGCGAAAGCGUGGGGAGCAAACAGGAUUAGAUACCCCAGUAGUCCCUGUCUCUUAUAC